AUUGAACGCUGGCGGCAUGCCUUACACAUGCAAGUCGAACGGCAGCACGGACUUCGGUCUGGUGGCGAGUGGCGAACGGGUGAGUAAAGUAUCGGAACGUACCCUAGAGUGGGGGAUAACUAUCCGAAAGGAUAGCUAAUACCGCAUAUUCUAUGAGUAGGAAAGCAGGGGAUCGCAAGACCUUGUGCUCUGGGAGCGGCCGAUAUCAGAUUAGCGAGUUGGUGGGGUAAAGGCUCACCAAGGCGACGAUCUGUAGCGGGUCUGAGAGGAUGAUCCGCCACACUGGAACUGAGACACGGUCCAGACUCCUACGGGAGGCAGCAGUGGGGAAUUUUGGACAAUGGGGGCAACCCUGAUCCAGCCAUGCCGCGUGAGUGAAGAAGGCCUUCGGGUUGUAAAGCUCUUUCGGCCGGGAAGAAAUCGCACGGGUUAAUACCCUGUGUGGAUGACGGUACCGGAAUAAGAAGCACCGGCUAACUACGUGCCAGCAGCCGCCGUAA
rnacentral:rRNA from 1 species